GACGAACGCUGGCGGCGUGCCUAAUACAUGCAAGUUGAGCGAGGAAGAUUGGUGCUUGCACCAAUUUGAAGAGCAGCGAACGGGUGAGUAACGCGUGGGGAAUCUGCCUUUGAGCGGGGGACAACAUUUGGAAACGAAUGCUAAUACCGCAUAACAACUUUAAACAUAAGUUUUAAGUUUGAAAGAUGCAAUUGCAUCACUCAAAGAUGAUCCCGCGUUGUAUUAGCUAGUUGGUGAGGUAAAGGCUCACCAAGGCGAUGAUACAUAGCCGACCUGAGAGGGUGAUCGGCCACAUGGGGACGGGGACGCGGCCCAAACUCCUGCGGGAGGCAGCAGUAGGGAAUCUUCGGCAAGGGACGAAAGUCUGACCGAGCAACGCCGCGAGAGUGAAGAAGGUUUUCGGAUCGUAAAACUCUGUUGGUAGAGAAGAACGUUGGUGAGAGUGGAAAGCUCAUCAAGUGACGGUAACUACCCAGAAAGGGACGGCUAACUACGUG
rnacentral:rRNA from 1 species